rnacentral:rRNA from 1 species
GAUGAACGCUGGCGGCGUGCCUAAUACAUGCAAGUCGAGCGAACGGACGAGAAGCUUGCUUUUCUGAUGUUAGCGGCGGACGGGUGAGUAACACGUGGAUAACCUACCUAUAAGACUGGGAUAACUUCGGGAAACCGGAGCUAAAACCGGAUAAUAUUUUGAACCGCAUGGUUCAAAAGUGAAAGACGGGCUUGCUGUCACUUAUAGAUGGAUCCGCGCUGCAGUAGCUAGUUGGUAAGGUAACGGCUUACCAAGGCAACGAUGCAUAGCCGACCUGAGAGGGUGAUUGGCCACACUGGAACUGAGACACGGUCCAGACUCCUACGGGAGGCAGCAGUAGGGAAUCUUCCGCAAUGGGCGAAAGCCUGACGGAGCAACGCCGCGUGAGUGAUGAAGGUCUUCGGAUCGUAAAACUCUGUUAUUAGGGAAGAACAUAUGUGUAAGUAACUGUGAACAUCUUGACGGUACCUAAUCAGAAAGCAACGGCUAACUACGUG